rnacentral:rRNA from 1 species
GACGAACGCUGACGGCGUGCUUUAGACAUGCAAGUCGAACGAGAACACCCUUCGGGGUUAGUAGAGUGGCGAACGGGUGAGUAACACGUGGGCAACCUACCCCUUGCAGGGGGACAACCGGGGGAAACCCCGGCUAAUACCCCGUACGCUUUCAAGGUCGCAUGGCUUUGGGAGGAAAGGUAGCUUCGGCCAUCCGGCAAGGGACGGACCCGCGGUGCAUUAGCUAGUUGGUGGGGUAACGGCCCACCAAGGCUACGAUGCGUAGCUGGUCUGAGAG